GACGAACGCUGGCGGCGUGCUUAACACAUGCAAGUCGAACGGAAAGGCCCUGCUUUUGUGGGGUGCUCGAGUGGCGAACGGGUGAGUAACACGUGAGUAACCUGCCCUUGACUUUGGGAUAACUUCAGGAAACUGGGGCUAAUACCGGAUAGGAGCUCCUGCUGCAUGGUGGGGGUUGGAAAGUUUCGGCGGUUGGGGAUGGACUCGCGGCUUAUCAGCUUGUUGGUGGGGUAGUGGCUUACCAAGGCUUUGACGGGUAGCCGGCCUGAGAGGGUGACCGGCGACAUUGGGACUGAGAUACGGCCCAGAAGCCUACGGGAGGCAGCAGUGGGGAAUAUUGCACAAUGGGCGGAAGCCUGAUGCAGCAACGCUGGGUGCGGGAUGACGGCCUUCGGGUUGUAAACCGCUUUCGCCUGUGACGAAGCGUGAGUGACGGUAAUGGGUAAAGAAGCACCGGCUAACUACGUG
rnacentral:rRNA from 1 species